UCUUGGUUAAAUAAGUGCUUUUUAACGUUUUAAAGAAGUGAGUUUCAUUUGAUUGGUUUUGCUCUUUUUUUUACCAAUUGACAGACCUAUUUGUUUCUUCUUAGCUUUUUGUUUUGUUUGUUUUAUUUUGUAGGCAGUAGAAUGGGAUUUAAAUAAUGAGGAGAUGAGAAUUGGGGAAAGUCCCCAGCUGGACUCAAACCAGCUCCAUUGCAGCUACAUGAAUAUAUGCCAUAGACCACCAGACAGAGAUCCCCAUAAAGACACGCCACACAGAUGUCAGAGCGGCAGAUAAAGGAUCAACUAAAUGGGCACCUUCUAAAUUGACAUGUCAUAUGCACCUUAGUGGAUCAGGUUGACAUGACUACCCAUGGCAGUGACGCAUCUGAAACAAUGUACCGGAGGGUCUCCAGCUUUCAGGGCUCUCUCUGGACUUUCCUCCCAGGCCAGAACAAUGGCGGGCCCAGGAGCCCAGCUUCCCCACAGGCCCCGGCGAGAGGAGGCCGGGGGCUGGAUACUGAGGGAGCCGCUCAGCGUGCUGAAAUAUGGAGGCGACAGAUAAGGUGGCAGCGGCACAGAGAGGCCCUCUCCCAUGGGCCCAAGGGGAAAUUUGCAGUUAUUAAGAGGAAGAUGAGAGAGAUUAAAUGGCUUUUGUACUCAU